rnacentral:rRNA from 1 species
UACGGGGGGGGCAAGCGUUGUUCGGAAUUACUGGGCGUAAAGGGUUCGUAGGUGGCCAACUAAGUCAGACGUGAAAUCCCUCAGCUUAACUGGGGAACUGCGUCUGAUACUGGUUGGCUUGAGUGCAGGAGAGGAACGCGGAAUUCCAGGUGUAGCGGUGAAAUGCGUAGAUAUCUGGAGGAACACCGGUGGCGAAGGCGGCGUUCUGGACCAUAACUGACGCUGAGGCGCGAAAGCUAGGGGAGCAAACGGG